GCUGGGCGUGGUGGCACGUGCCUGUAGUCCCAGCUACUCGGGAGGCUGAGGCAGGAGAAUCGCUUGAACCCAGGAGGCGGAGGUUGCAGUGAGUCGAGAUCGCACCACUGCACUCCAGCCUGGGUGACAGAGCGAGACUCUGUCUCAA
rnacentral:SRP_RNA from 2 species